UUCUUUAGGGAAUAAUCUAAAGUAAAACAUGCUCAAUGAAAAUAAUUGAAUAGCUGCGGGAGACUGUACUAAGGUAGCAUAAUAAUUAGUUUAUUAAUUGUAAACUAGAAUGAAAGGUUAAAUGAAUAAGUUGAAGUAUUUUAAGAAGAAUUUGAAAUUUAGAUAAUGGUAAAAAUGCCACUAAUUAAUUUAGGGACGAGAAGACCCUAAAAGCUUUAAAUUAAAUGUUCAAAUUUUAAAAAUUUUAUUUAAUUUUUUGUUGGGGUAAUAAAAUAAGAAAAAGAUCUUAUUUUUGAGCCAAAAAUUUUGAUCAAAAGAAAAAAGUUACUUUAGGGAUAACAGCAUAAUAAAGAAAUAGAAGUUCAAAUUUUAUUUUUAGAUUAUGACCUCGAUGUUGGAUUAAUAUUCCUAUUAGGUGAAGUAACUUAAUUUAAGGAAGUCUGUUCGACUAUUAAAAUAUUACA
rnacentral:rRNA from 1 species